rnacentral:rRNA from 1 species
GGCCUGAGAGGGUGACCGGCCACAUUGGGACUGAGAUACGGCCCAGACUCCUACGGGAGGCAGCAGUGGGGAAUAUUGCACAACGGGCGGAAGCCUGAUGCAGCAACGCCGCGUGCGGGAUGACGGCCUUCGGGUUGUAAACCGCUUUCGCCUGUGACGAAGCGUGAGUGACGGUAAUGGGUAAAGAAGCACCGGCUAACUACGUGCCAGCAGCCGCGGUGAUACGUAGGGUGCGAGCGUUGUCCGGAUUUAUUGGGCGUAAAGGGCUCGUAGGUGGUUGAUCGCGUCGGAAGUGUAAUCUUGGGGCUUAACCCUGAGCGUGCUUUCGAUACGGGUUGACUUGAGGAAGGUAGGGGAGAAUGGAAUUCCUGGUGGAGCGGUGGAAUGCGCAGAUAUCAGGAGGAACACCAGUGGCGAAGGCGGUUCUCUGGGCCUUUCCUGACGCUGAGGAGCGAAAGCGUGGGGAGCGAACAGGCUUAGAUACCCUGGUAGUCCACGCUGUAAACGGUGGGUACUAGGUGUGGGGUCCAUUCCACGGGUUCCGU